rnacentral:rRNA from 1 species
UCGACGCGAAAUGGGGGCAACCCUGCGAGUAGAGUGGCGAACGGGUGAGUAAUACAUCGGAACGUACCCAGGAGUGGGGGACAACCUCGAGAAAUCGAGGCUAAUACCGCAUACGUCCUGAGGGAGAAAGCGGGGGAUUCGCAAGGACCUCGCGCUCAUGGAGCGGCCGAUGUCGGAUUAGCUAGUUGGCGGGGUAAAGGCCCACCAAGGCGACGAUCCGUAGCUGGUUUGAGAGAACGACCAGCCACACUGGGACUGAGGCACGGCCCAGACUCCUACGGGAGGCAGCAGUGGGGAAUUUUGGACAAUGGGGGCAACCCUGAUCCAGCCAUGCCGCGUGAGUGAAGAAGGCCUUCGGGUUGUAAAGCUCUUUCGGCCGGAACGAAAUCGCGUACGUGAAUAACGUGCGUGGAUGACGGUACUGGAAGAAGAAGCACCGGCUAACUACGUGCCAGCAGCCGCGGUAAUACGUAGGGUGCGAGCGUUAAUCGGAAUUACUGGGCGUA